AGGAAUACAUCGGAAUCUACUCUGUCGUGGGGGAGUAACGUAGGGAAACUUACGCUAAUACCGCAUACGACCUACGGGUGAAGCAGGGGAUCUUCGGACCUUGCGCGAUUGAAUGAGCCGAUGUCGGAUUAGCUAGUUGGCGGGGUAAUGGCUCACCAAGGCGACGAUCCGUAACUGGUCUGAGAGGAUGAUCAGUCACACUGGAACUGAGACACGGUCCAGACUCCUACGGGAGGCAGCAGCG
rnacentral:rRNA from 1 species